rnacentral:rRNA from 1 species
CAGUAGCCACGGGAAUACGUAGGUGGCAAGCGUUGUCCGGAAUUAUUGGGCGUAAAGGGCUCGCAGGCGGUUUCUUAAGUCUGAUGUGAAAGCCCCCGGCUCAACCGGGGAGGGUCAUUGGAAACUGGGAAACUUGAGUGCAGAAGAGGAGAGUGGAAUUCCACGUGUAGCGGUGAAAUGCGUAGAGAUGUGGAGGAACACCAGUGGCGAAGGCGACUCUCUGGUCUGUAACUGACGCUGAGGAGCGAAAGCGUGGGGAGCGAACAGGAUAAGAGACCCGUGUAGUCCCUGUCUCUUAUAC